rnacentral:tRNA from 2 species
GGCGCGGUGGCCGAGUGGUUAGGCAGCGGUCUGCAAAACCGUUUACACGGGUUCAACUCCCGUCCGUGCCUCCA